AUGCAGUCGACGAGGCCGAUUUCUUCGGAUUGAAGGCCUAGUGGCGAAAGGGUGAGUAAUACAUGGACCAUCUACCCCAGGGCCCGGGAUAACAGCUGGAAACGGCUGCUAAUACCGGAUAGUCCAGCAGUGGUAAACGGUGGGGACCUUCGGGCCUGCCGCCCAGGGAGGAGUCCAUGGCCUAUCAGCUUGUUGGUGGGGCAACGGCCUACCAAGGCAAAGACGGGUAGCCGGACUGAGAGGUUGACCGGUCACACUGGGACUGAGACACUGCCCAGACUCCUACGGGAGGCUGCAGUCGAGAAUCAUCCGCAAUGGGCGAAAGCCUGACGGUGCGACGCCGCGUGCAGGAAGAAGGCCCUCGGGUUGUAAACUGCUGUCACACGUUAAGAAAAAAUGCGGGUUAAUACCUCGCGUCUUGACAAAAGCGUGAGAGGAAGUCACGGCUAACUUCGUGCCAGCAGCCGCGGUAAUACG
rnacentral:rRNA from 1 species